rnacentral:rRNA from 1 species
AGUGAACGCUGGCGGUAGGCCUAACACGUGCAAGUCGAACGGCAGCACAGUAAGAGCUUGCUCUUACGGGUGGCGAGUGGCGGACGGGUGAGGAAUACAUCGGAAUCUACUUUUUCGUGGGGGAUAACGUAGGGAAACUUACGCUAAUACCGCAUACGACCUACGGGUGAAAGCAGGGGAUCUUCGGACCUUGCGCGAUUGAAUGAGCCGAUGUCGGAUUAGCUAGUUGGCGGGGUAAAGGCCCACCAAGGCGACGAUCCGUAGCUGGUCUGAGAGGAUGAUAAGCCACACUGGAACUGAGACACGGUCCAGACUCCUACGGGAGGCAGCAGUGGGGAAUAUUGGACAAUGGGCGCAAGCCUGAUCCAGCCAUACCGCGUGGGUGAAGAAGGCCUUCGGGUUGUAAAGCCCUUUUGUUGGGAAAGAAAAGCAGCAGGUUAAUACCCCGCUGUUCUGACGGUACCCAAAGAAUAAGCACCGGCUAACUUCGUG